UCCGGUUUGUCACCGGCAGUCUCCUAUGAGUCCCCAACUUAAUGCUGGCAACAUAGGACGGGGGUUGCGCUCGUUGCGGGACUCAACCCAACAUCUCACGACACGAGCUGACGACAGCCAUGCACCACCUGUAUAACUGUCCCGAAGGAAGGCCAUGUUUCCAUGGUUGUCAGUUAUAUGUCAAGCCCAGGUAAGGUUCUUCGCGUUGCGUCGAAUUAAUCCACAUGCUCCGCUGCUUGUGCGGGUCCCCGUCAAUUCCUUUGAGUUUUAAGCUUGCGCUCGUACUCCCCAGGCGGGUCACUUAACGCGUUAGCUACGACACGGGAGGAGUCGAUACCCCCCACAUCUAGUGACCAUCGUUUACGGCGUGGACUAC
rnacentral:misc_RNA from 1 species